rnacentral:lncRNA from 1 species
UUUUAUUUAUAAAAGUUGUUUUUAAAUUUUGUGGUUGUCAUUUAUUUAGAUGUUUUGUGUUUGAAGUAGACUAUCUGUUUUUCAUAAGCAAAGUGGUGUAGAAGGGGUUCCAUAAUUUGAAAAGGUUACUACUUUCAGCAGUUAGCUGAGUUGGAGUUUACAUUAUUGCUCUUAAUCAACCAAGAAGUGAAUAAGCUAUGGUGAUUGACUGAUUGCAGUCAAUUAGUUUAAUAUAGGAGACAACCGUGAUCCUGUUAAAGUGCAUUCGCUAUUUCCUUAAACACUAAUGCACAACUUUCUGUAACUUCUGUAUACCAAAUUGGGAUCUACCAGCUGAUGUGUUUCGUUUCACUUUUGAACAAGUGUGUGUGUGUGUUUUCAACGCUUUUCUUCUUAACGAACGUUCUUGUUCUUCUAGUCUGAAUAUCGUCAACAGACCAAAUCAAAAUUUGCAUUUAGGUGUGAUUCCAGAAUAUGUGACAGCAAUUUUUUAACUUUGUCCUCAAGAAUUCGACAACUUUAUAGUUGUGAAUUCUUAUUAAGUGAAUGUUCACACACAGUGUCAUUACUGAUAUCAUUCAUAUAGGAAAUAACCGAGAAACAUAAAUUUAUGUUCUAUUAAUCUAUGCAAUACUUUGUGAUAUUCUACAAACAAUAGGUGAUGAUCACCAUCAACUUUAAUACCAGAAACAACUCAAGCGACUCGCCUCAUUCCUCGGCCAGUUGGCGAACUUUACCCAGGAAAAGAAUGGUCCUUUGGCGCUGUGAAACACGAAAAUUUAUUCGGAAAAAGUCCAUCAGUAUAACGAAGCCGUUCGGGCUGAACUACGGAGUUGACCACCCAGAAAUGCGAAUCAUACAUGGGAUUCAAGUAAUUCGUUGGUUGAGGAAUACAUCCGUGGGUGUGUUCACUUUCAGCAAUGCAGCAUGCAAUUUGGGAAGUAUCUUCUCUCAGAUCCGGAUUAUUCUUAUACAUUAACUGCAACAAUAACGCCCACCCAGCUUAUUACUCGGACCAACCGCUUGCCACUCCAAACUCCUUUUUAAUGACCUGGUGAUGGUAACAAAUUUGAUUUCCCAUUGACAUUACACUGGCGUACAAGUUAAUAUUUUUUUUUGUAAAAGGGGAAUUUCGGUUUGUAACCGACAAAGAGUUUUCCUUGUCACAAUGGAAUAGUAAAAAGGCAAUAUUCGUUCCGUUAUUAUUUUAAAAGUUUUAU